AGCCUGCCCACUGAAUUUUUUUUAAAUGGCCGCAGUAUACUAACUGUGCAAAGGUAGCAUAAUCAUUAGUCUUUUAAUUGAAGGCUGGUAUGAAUGGUUGGACGAGAUAUUAACUGUUUCAUAUAAAUUUUUAUUAGAAUUUUAUUUUUUAGUUAAAAAGCUAAAAUUUAUUUAAAAGACGAGAAGACCCUAUAAAUCUUUAUAUUUAGUUAAUUAUAAUUUUUUAGAUAAAUUUUGUAAUAAUUAAUUAUGAUAUUUUAUUGGGGUGAUAUUAAAAUUUGAUAAACUUUUAAUUUUUAAAUUCAUUAAUUUAUGAAUAAUUGAUCCGUUAUUAACGAUUAAAAAAACAAGUUACUUUAGGGAUAACAGCGUAAUUUUUUUGGAGAGUUCAUAUCGAUAAAAAAGAUUGCGACCUCGAUGUUGGAUUAAGAGAUAAGUUUAGGUGUAGCCGCUUAAAUUUUAAGUCUGUUCGACUUUUAAAUUCUUACAUGAUCUGAGUUCAAACCGGCGUAAGCCAGGUUGGUUUCUAUCUUUAAAAA
rnacentral:rRNA from 1 species